GAGAUGGGAGAAUCUUCCAAAAGGACAAUAGCUGCAGCACUCCACCAAUCACAACACCUCUCAGGCGGGCCGGCACCCGUGUCUCACUGGGCCAUGGUUCCGGCGGACCAGCUCUCACUUGGAGUCAAGGCACUCAGUACUUUUCAGCUGGCAUUUACAUAACGGCUAACUGUGAACUUUAACAGCGUCUCAUGAAAGCAACAGUCUUGAAUGACGCAGAGGUUCAUAAUUCUGCUCGCCACAAGUCUUUGUCACCCUCCUGAUGGGAAAAAAACAAUAGGCCGUGGCUGCAGAUCCAACAUUUGACUGACCCCCCCCCCCCCCCCCCCCCCCCCCCCCCCACCCCCCCCCCCCCCUCCCCCAGACUAAAGAUCCUGAAGUGGAUCAUUUUCUGUGCAUCUGUUUAUCUACCUCUACUUUACACAUUUUUUGUGGUCUCCUUCCUUUUACUGUUAAUUGUGAACGAUAAUUCUUCAAGUUUUACUGGUGAAAUGUCCGUGCAGCAACUGCAAAUAAAACCAAUU